rnacentral:rRNA from 1 species
CGGCGGACGGGUGAGUAACGCGUGGAUAACCUGCCUCACACAGGGGAGUAACAGUUAGAAAUGACUGCUAAUACCGCAUAAGCGCACAGGACCGCAUGGUCCGGUGUGAAAAACUCCGGUGGUGUGAGAUGGACCCGCGUUUGAUUAGCUAGUUGGUGGGGUAACGGCCUACCAAGGCGACGAUCAAUAGCCGACCUGAGAGGGUGACCGGCCACAUUGGGACUGAGACACGGCCCAA